rnacentral:tRNA from 1 species
ACAGUGGUAGUUCAGUGGUAGAAUUCUCGCCUUCCAUGAGGGAGACCUGGGUUCAAUUCCUGGCCAGUGCA